AACGAACGCUGGCGGCGUGGAUAAGACAUGCAAGUCGAACAAGAAAGGGCUUCGGCCCCGGUACAGUGGCGCACGGGUGAGUAACACGUAGGUAAUCUUCCUCCGAGCGGUGGAUAACCCUUCGAAAGGGGGGCUAAUACAGCAUAGGACCACGUUCCCGAAAGGGGAUGAGGUGAAAGCGGGCCUCUGUAUACAAGCUCGCACUUGGAGAUGAGCCUGCGGCCCAUCAGCUAGUUGGUGAGGUAACGGCCCACCAAGGCAAAGACGGGUAGCGGGUCUGAGAGGAUGAUCAGCCACACGGGAACUGAGACACGGUCCAGACUCCUACGGGAGGCAGCAGUGGGGAAUUUUGCGCAAUGGGCGAAAGCCUGACGCAGCGACGCCGCGUGGGUGACGAAGGCCCUCGGGUUGUAAAGCCCUGUGGGGAGGGAAGAAUAAGGGGCGGCUAACAUCCGCACCGAUGACGGUACCUCCUUAGCAAGCACCGGCUAACUCUGUGCCAGCCGCCGCCGUAACAC
rnacentral:rRNA from 1 species